rnacentral:rRNA from 1 species
UACAGAGGUCUCAAGCGUUUGUUCGGAUUCAUUGGGCGUAAAGGGUGCGUAGGUGGCGCCGUAAGUCGGGUGUGAAAUUUCGGAGCUUAACUCCGAAACUGCAUUCGAUACUGCGGUGCUUUGAGGACUGGAGAGGAGACUGGAAUUCAUGGUGUAGCAGUGAAAUGCGUAGAGAUCAUGAGGAAGACCAGUGGCGAAGGCGGGUCUCUGGACAGUUCCUGACACUGAGGCACGAAGGCCAGGGGAGCAAACGGG